rnacentral:lncRNA from 1 species
AAGAUCUGGAAAACAGGUUCAGUGUACAGUUAAGCUGAACAAGACUUCUGCAAUGAUUUAAGAACUUGCCCACCAUAUUUGACAAGGCUCUCUUUCAGGACUUAUGUUGGCUUGGAGUACUCUGAGAGAGCACUGCUUUCCUAAUGCCUUCAAAAGUAUAAGGCCCAAGAGUAUGAACUUCCUGGAGCUGCUUUCCACUUGAUGCAAUCCUGGCCUCAGUAGAGAGGCCUGGCAAGUGGAGCUGGAGGUCUUGGAUAGAGGAGAACAUGGACACCAUGGUGCCAGCAUUCCUCAGGCUUUGAUCCUUGGACCAGCUUGAUCCUGCAUUCUUACAUUAGUGAGUGAUAGCACUGAACUUCCAGAAGCAGUGGUCUUCAUUUCAUCUGGCAAAUGCUUGUAAAGUGGGUUCUGCCCUUAUAAGUAAAGAACAGAGGAGCCAAAGG